GACAGAGGGUGCAAACGUUGUUCGGAAUUACUGGGCGUAAAGCGCGUGUAGGCGGCCGGGCAAGUCGGAUGUGAAAGCCCACGGCUCAACCGUGGAAGUGCACCCGAAACUGCUCGGCUAGAGUCUCGGAGAGGAAGGUGGAAUGCUUGGUGUAGAGGUGAAAUUCGUAGAUAUCAAGCAGAACACCGGUGGCGAAGGCGGCCUUCUGGACGAUGACUGACGCUGAGACGCGAAAGCGUGGGGAGCAAACAGG
rnacentral:misc_RNA from 1 species